rnacentral:rRNA from 1 species
CGGAUCGUAAACUUCUUUUAGAGGGGAUGAAUGAGUUGGUGAAUAGCCAACUGUGACAGUACUCUUUGAGUAAGCCACGGCUAACUACGUGC